GAGGGAAUAUUGGUUAAUGUGCGAAAGCGCGAACCAGCAACGCCGCGUGUACGAAGAAGGCCUUCGGGUUGUAAAGUACUUUUCACCGGGAAGAGGAAGGACGGUACCGGUGGAAUAAGUCUCGGCUAACUAGGUGUCAGCAGCCGCGGUAACACGUAGGAGACGAGCGUUAUCCGGAUUUACUGGGUGUGAAGCGCGUGCAGGCGGUCUGUUAAGUUGGAUGUGAAAGCUCCCGGCUAAGCUGGGAGAGGUCGUUCAAAACUGGCAGGCUAGAGUGUGGUAGAGGGGAGUGGAAUUCCGAGUGUAGCGGUAAAAUGCAUAGAUAUUCGGAAGAACACCAGUGGCGAAGGCGACUUCCUGGACCACAACUGACGCUCAGACGCGAAAGCCAGGGUAGCAAACGG
rnacentral:rRNA from 1 species